AUGAUGUUGGUGAUCGCGCCGGCGCCGGCCUGGGCCCAAAGGCGCGCUUCGUCCUUGAUGGUGGAGCACAGGUGGGAGACAGAGGGUCGGUCCCCGUCGAAGGUGCAGCUGUUUCUAUGCUUCCAAAUCCACCAAGCGGUGAGGAUGAUGAGGGAGGAUAGGCCUUUACGCAUGGCAGCGGGCGCGAGAGCACAAGAAGAGGCCCAACGAUGCAACACCUGCUGGCUGGCUGCUCCUUCUCCCGCCAGAUGGAGUUGGCAGCGCGGUUCAGCAAGCAUGAGCUGCUUGAGAGUGCGGAUGGCAAGGCAGGAAAGGAAAAAGGCUUUUAUGGUGAGCAGGAUCAAUACCGCGUUCAGUAGCAAGAAGCGCCGUGAUUCUGUCAGGGAGAGAUGGAUGCCUCAAGAUGAGAAACUCAAGAAACUGGAAGAGGAAAAGGGAGUCGUCAUUCGAUUUAUGAUUGGGCAUAGGUAA
rnacentral:rRNA from 1 species